GCAAGGCAGGGAAGGGACAGGAGCGUCGGAAGGUGAGAGACGCGGAUGUCCAGUCCUAACGAGACGCGGUAACUCAGGUCAGAGAGGAGAGCUACUCACCACAAGGAGGAGCUGUUUGGUCAUAAUGAAAACCUGUGCCAGGUAAACAGAGACACAUACCUGCAUAUCAGACACAGGAGCGUUUGGGGUUCGGUGUCUCGCUCAAGGACACUUUGACGUCGUCAGCAGGAGCUGCCAACCCUAUCAGAUGACCAGUUCUAUCUGCUCAGCAUUGAUAUGGUGAAUUAGUAAACGUUAAUAAGGAAGCAUUAGCAGAAAUCCUGAGGACCUGAGUUUGAGGUCCUACCGAUUGUAUUAAUCACCUUUCUAAUUUCCAUUCAGCCAUUUACUCUGUAUCUGUCCACCGAUUACUGCUUCUCUACACCUCAAUCUCCUGCACUCACUCCAUUGCCCUCUCUCUUUCCACACGUCUUUCUCUGAAUAUCUCCGUCCAUCUCACUAGGAGAGCAGAGAUGCUGAGAGCUGGGCUCAUAAAUUUUGCCUGGUAUGAAACAGAAGAUGCCUUCCCUGGACGACUAGAAGGUUUUUCAUCACCGGAGCCUUUUUAGUGCCAUCCAUUCCCACCGCCGCAUGUCACCAAAACUCAAGUCCAGGCCACGUGUUUAUGUCUGUGUAUUCAGGACGGGGCAGUCUGCAUGCACAGCAGCAGGGAAGAAGACGAGUGGAGUGAAUUGUCGAUGAACAGAAUGAACAGGAUGAUGAGGAGUGAAGAAGCAAAGAGCAGUUUAUAAACAGAUCAAAUGUUUGGGGUUAUUGUUUGAGAAAAAGACCAUGAAAACAAAAAUUGUGUGGUCAUUUACUGACAAGAUUAACUCGCAGUUGAUGGGAAGGUUUUCACGACAGGGUGCCAACAAAUAAACACAAUUCAGAGAUGACACCUCCCCUGUGGGGUGGGCACGACGGACGGACAGCGCCAUUCCGCGAAUUCCUCCGGGGUGAUCCGGUGUCAGAUGGUCCCAGCUUUUCUGUCUUGGCCCUCAAGGGACGGAAAGGUUAUCCCGUUCUGCGAGAAACACAAAUAUGGAGGCAUGGGGAGGUUGUGUGGGACAGCUGGGGCCUUAAUCUCAAAUCCACACCAGCCGUUACACGGCACUGGCAGAUCACAGUGAGUCAUGUGAUAGCAGUGUGAAAAUGAGACAAUUCCUUUUAGGAUACGUACAAAUCAAUUUGCUCACAGCGGUGGUGCCUGGUUACAUCGAUCAAGCAAUUUAACAACAGAAGGAAGCUGGUGAUGGAAGUUUGGUAUCAAACUAAACAAUUACAUGAAAAUUACACAAUAAACACAUGUGUCAUUAUCAUGCAGAGAACCUUUGUGACGUCAUGUUGCGGUUCUGUUAAUCUGCAGAUAAUCAACAGCUCAAGCCUCCUCUACACCACAGACAUCAGCAGCGAGGUGCUGGAUGACUUUGUGCGUCAACAAACUUCAUAAAAAUCAAUCCAUACACUUCUUUAUGGCAUCCGUCCUUAUUUCACAAAUAAUAUGUAUUUCUUUUUCACACGCUGCAUUGAGAUAUAUGGCGCGGGCUCAGCAGUUAGAAAAGGUUGUUCCCUAACAAGAAGGUCUGCGGUUUGAUCCCUGGCUCCUCCGUUCUGCAUUCCCAACUGUCCUUGGCAAGAUGCUCAAUGCCAAUUUCGGUGAAAGAAAAAAUGCUGCGUAUAGAAGCACUAUAUGUGUGUGUGAACGGGUGAAUGUGACUUAAAGCACUUGAGUGUUAUGACUAGAAAAGCACUAUAUGAAUAAAAGUCCCUUUUUGAAGCGUGGGCACUAAAGCAACUGGAGGCACUAAUCUGAGAAACAAGAAGGAGCAUAACUUGAUGCAGGGAAAUCUAUGAUCCGUCCCCAGAGGUAUGAAGUGUCCCGCUUCAUCAGCUUGUCCUGUCCAAUGCCAAGUUAAAUCUUUACCCUCUCUCCCCUCAUCUGUUACCAUCUCAGCACGCUCGAGGCUUAUUUGGGGACUGUGAUAAAAAUAACGUGCCAGAACAGAUGGCGUUAGCGCUGAACACAUGCGAAGAACCAUAUAGCAAAUGGUUGAGAACCGAUGAAGCAAAUGUUGAAAUCUCUCCCUGUAUUUUUUUUUUCCUCUGAUCAAGACUGAUCUCUGAGAAUGGCAGGCAGGUGCGCAAUUCAGUCUGAAGUCUCACGAGUCCUCCGGAGACGCUCAUCACUCUUCCUAAUUCUUAAAGCCACUCAAACACCCACUUAGCAUUCGUGCACAUGAGAGCAGGAGUUAAAAAAGCAGAGUGAGAGUGUGAGAGUGAGAGGAGGCAGAAAGGGAGAAAUGCAAACAGACAACCGGAGAACAGACACAGGGGCUGAUAGACGGACACUCAUGCCAGCCGGCCACCACAGGGUGUCUGUGUACACCAAGUGAUUUAUGUGUGACCGAGGAUGCAGACAGCAGAGGGGGGUGUGGAGGGCAGACUCAAGAUCCCUGCUGGAUCUUACAGAGAUGAAGAAGUGCAGGAAGUGUAUAUCAAGUCAAACGUUGCGAUCUCGUAGGGAGUGUCGAUACAGUCUCACAUCCAGAUGUUUUACUCAUCAAGUUCCCUUGAUGCAAACUGUAGUAUUGUAGGUGAAACUGUUGAGGAAUUUUUGACCAUCCUCACACAUUACUGUAUAUGCCACUAAAUAUUAAUGCAUUGUAGUGUCUACAUUUAGGGACUUUCAUAUCUAACUCAGAUGCACCAGACAGAGAGACACCAAC